UCCCAGCCGGCGGGCGAAGGCGGCCCCUCUCCGGACGCCCCGCCUCCGACUCCCGUUACACCCGGGGGAAGGUGUUCCAGAGGCCGCUCCCAUCCUCACCCCGCCUCCCGCUCUCCCGGCGCUAGCCUCUGCCGCCGGAGCCCACUAUGCCAGAUACUUUCGACACUUUGCAAAGACAAAGAGCCCUAGACCGGAGGGAGGCGAGAGGAGGAGGCAGAAGAGGAGGUAGAGGAGGACCCGGAGGUGUGAGCUGGUCGGGACUUGACUUUGAUGAACUGAAAAUGCCAUCAAGAAGUGGCUGUCAUCUCCCCGGGCUGUGCUAAGUGAGCUAGGUUCAGAGCUGUGGAACCGGAAAGUUGUGUCUGUGUCUCAGCCUCCUGAGGCACUCAUGGGCGCCUCUAGCCCCGGGCACUGGGGGUUAAAGGAAUCGGCAGGUGCCUUACCUCUGGGAUGCUGAUAGCCAAGGCAAGGAGAAACAGACAGAUCCAUCGGUUAUUGGCAGGCACGGAGCAUUGUUCUGGCUUUGUGGAGCUUGAGACAUUUGCAGUUUGGAGCUGGCUAUAAAGAAGUAAUAUACUAAUUCAUAGAUUUAAAAUAAAAUAUAAGCCUUGGACUUGCCUUGAUUGUGGUGUUUGUUCAUGGCAACAGAAAGGUAACAAAGACCUAGUGAUCCCACUUCUGGGCUGCGCCCUAAGGACCAGCUGAGCUGCUGGAGCACUGAGCUAAGUGUGCCUGGAGCAUGUGGGAGUGCCUCCCAAGGCUUGGCUGGAGGUAAUUUCUAAGAGUACAUGGUCAGUCACUUUGGGAACUAGCUAGUGCACCCCAGGUGCACCCCACUUACCAAGAGCUUGUAUUUUGCUUUAAAUAUGCGACUUUGAAGGGACCAGCUCCCCUUUCGGCAGUCAUAGCGGCCGAACACGUGCUUGUAUGACCUUGUCCUGGACACUAGAAAGUCAGAUGCCUGCCUCGUGACAAGGAACCAAUCAGAAGUUAGCUGGUGGCGCUAUGCUUUACAACCCUGGCUGUACUUUACAGACAAACACACAGCAAUGACGCAAAGCAUAGCAACCACCCUGGGAGGGCCUAUGGGCCAUAACAACCAGUUGGCCAAUCAACACAGGGCAAUCCCUCCAAGGCUGGAGGCACACCAAUAGUGAGCCUGUGUGUACCCCUAGACACUCCCCUUAAGCUGCCCUAUAAGAUCUCCGUCCUGUGGCUUCUCAGAGUCUUUUGCGAGCCAUCCACCAUGGCUGAAAGACCAUGAGUGAAAGACCCGAGCUAACAUGGGGUUAGCUCGUUAAAUUACAAUAAAGCCUCAUGCAAUUUGCAGCAAGCUCUCGAAUCUGCCUGGUGAUUGGGGUGACCAUGGUCGUGGCCUGGGACCCCAGAUACCUGAGUUUUCCAGGGGUCUACAACUUUAUAUAGUGUUUUCUUGGAGAUAACUCCAAACUGUGCAAGAUUUUUAUGGAACACAGGCACAGGGUUGUUUAGUAAGGAACCCCCAGGCCCAUGGCUUUGAGCUGGGCUUUGAAGUUGCAGUGUGUUUCCAGAGCCUUGCCCGUAAGCUCUGUUGCCUCUAGGAUUCUUGUUUCUAAGUCUUUGACAGCUUCUAGUACUCAGGGAAAUAGCAUGAGUGGCCAAGUCCAGGAACAGAAUUAAAUAAAAUAUAACUUAGAAUGGAGUCAUUCAUAGUGAGUCCGUGUAUGAUUUCCUAGAACGAUGGGGUGUUCCGGAUACUAGAUGCUAAGGGGAAAGUCCUGUGUAUGUCCAGAAAAAAAAUGGAGAGAGAGGGCAGGGCAUGUUAGUUCUCUAUCCAGCUUACAUACCCUCAGUUGGGCUUGUUACAGCAACUCAUUUGCCUACACAUCCCAGUGCCUGUUCCAUUGUCCUGACCCUGGAGACACAGCAGCUUUUAAAGGUUGGGACCAGGAGUGUUCCUGCACUUGUGUGGCCUCUCUGCUCCUUCUCUCCUGUAGCAGAUGUAACUCACACCAGCCUCCCUUAGAUCUGCCACUCCCCUCCUGGGGAACGUAUAUUUCCAGUCAACCACUGUGGCCAGGCCCAGUGUCGCAGGAAGAGAGGGCCACCAGGGGCAUGAAAUUUUCACAGGUGCUUUUAGAAGGUAGCCCCAUACAUUUGAGUCUUUCACUCUUCACCAAUGACCAGUUCUGGGUCUGCUCAUGCCCAGAUGGCCGGUAUUCAGGCAUUUACAGGUUCUGCAGAUGAUCUGAGUUCCAGACACACUUCCCUCUGCAUCCUUCUUCCUUCUUGUAACCUCCAUGUUCAUAAUAUCCCUGGGAUAGAGUCCGAGUUCUGUGGGAGGAAGAACAAGACUCCCAAAGUCCCUAGCCUCAUCCUAGCUCUCCCAACCCCCUGCUAGGCACAGAGCAACCUUCAGAGCAGCGAUUAGUGUGGUCUGGGUGCAAAUCACAUGUCUGCUACUCACCGAGUCAUCCUGGCCUCACUUUCCUUACCUGUGAAAUGGACAGAGUCGCUAGUGAUAGCCUGGAUUGAUUACUUUACAAAAAAGGGCUGAGUCCUUCUAGAUACAGCCCACGCCGUUGGGCAGCAUGAGACAGAGGAGUUGUUGGUAGGUGUCGAUGGUGUACAACAGUUUAUUCUGAGCCAAAUAUAAGUGCCCGUGGGUCCGUCGGGAACACAGAUUCAAGUUGCCCCCCAAAAUGUAGUUCCCCAUGAAGUGGUAACAUGGACUCAAUGUUACAGAACAAAAGAAACUCCUAAAGCAACACUUUUGCCUAAGACUUUAGUGGGAACAUCAGGCAGGCGGGCAGGCUACAUCAAAGGGGGUGGAAUAUCUCUGCUACAGAUCUCAGCAGCUGUGUGAUGACAUGCUUAGCUUUUGAUUCACGGGUGGGAGCUGGUGGAGUGCUAACACACACUGAAGGUUUCACUUGAAGUUAAAAGGACAUGCGGCCAGAUAUCAAGGUAGUUGACAAAUGGAUAUUAAGAAGACUUAAAUGUCGCCCAUAAUAUUGGCUUAGGAGAUGUCUUGUGUAGCCAGGCUGGCUUUGAACUUGCUUUGUAGCUGAGGUUGACCUUGAACUUCUGCUCCUCCUACCUCUGCUUCCCCUGUGUUGAGAUUACAAGCAUGCCACACUAUGCCCUGGACGUGGUAAUUAAGCACUCUGCGAACUGAGUUGCACCUCCAGUGCAGGCCAGGAUACUUUUCUCUCUGACUACAACAGUUUAG
ensembl:lncRNA